UCCGUAGGUGGUUUGUCAAGUCUGUCGUCAAAGAAUGGAGCUUAACUCCAUAAAGGCGGUGGAAACUGAGAGACUAGAGUUCGGUAGGGGUAACGGGAAUUCCCAGUGUAGCGGUGAAAUGCGUAGAUAUUGGGAAGAACAUCGGUGGCGAAAGCGCGCUACUGGGCCGAAACUGACACUGAGGGACGAAAGCUAGGGUAGCGAAAG
rnacentral:rRNA from 1 species